GUGCCCAGAACACUGCACUCCGCAGGAAAGUUGAUCCAUGAAGCAAGUGGGUGAGAAGAUUUCAAGGUGCCAGAAACCUCACCCAGGUCCCUAAGCCCUCUGUUCUCUGUCCUCUGCAGAGAGCAUCAUCCACAGUUACCCGGAGUUUAGCUAGCCCUUUCUGGAGACGUGGCCUUAAAUAUACACAGAGUCUUCGUGAGAGCCCUCAGGAGCCUGGGCUCAGAGGAGCAGAUUGCCAAAUGGGACCCACUCUGCAAAAACAUCCAGAUCAUCGCAACGUAUGCACAGACAGAGUUGGGACAUGGGACAUAUCUUCAGGGCCUGGAGACUGAAGCCACCUAUGACGCAGCCACCCAGGAGUUUGUGAUACACAGCCCCACGCUGACUGCCACCAAAUGGUGGCCUGGAGACUUGGGACGGUCAGCCACCCAUGCCCUGGUCCAGGCCCAGCUGAUCUGCUCAGGAGCCAGGCGGGGCAUGCACGCUUUUAUUGUGCCAAUCCGGAGUCUUCAGGACCACACCCCACUGCCAGGAAUCAUCAUUGGGGACAUCGGACCCAAGAUGGACUUUGAUCAAAC
rnacentral:lncRNA from 1 species